rnacentral:lncRNA from 1 species
AAGUUAUUAAAACAAAACAACAUAAUGAUCAGCAUGAAUGACUUAAAAAAAUAUGUUAAUUAUAUACCUAUGACUACAGUAAAAAGGACGUUAGAUAAUUUAUUAAAUAAUGACAUAUUUAUCGAGGCUAUUAGAUCAGUGACAUUUGAUGCGUAUAAAGAAAUGGACAAUGAUGAAAAUGCAGGAAAACGAACAAAGAGCAAUAGUAAAACAAUUGAUAAUAAUGAAAACGUUUAUACCAAUUUUUCAGUCGUUAUUAAUACUUUAGUAGAUUUUUUAAAAGAAGAAAAUGUACCAGGUAACAUAUUUAUGAAUAUAAAAGCUUUUUUUAAAAAGUUGAAUAAGUUAAACAACAAAUUGGCAAAACAGUUACUAAACGUUAAACUUCAAGAAAAUAGCUUCGAAUCAGAAUGGCCUGAACUAACUCUUAAUAAUCUUCAGUUUAUAUUGUCAAAAAUAUAUGUACGAUAUGUUUUAGACGAUAUGAUGGAUUCUAAAAAUAAUGUUCCAUUGGAAGGUGAUCAUACAGUUGAUGAUGAAUCACAUGAUAAUACUGAUAGUAAUAUUAUGGCUAGUGAUACAACGAAUGUACCGAGUGAUACAACGAAUGUACCGAGUGAAAUAACGAAUGUACCGAGUGAAAUAACGAAUGUACCGAGUGAUACAACGAAUGUACCGAGCGAUAAUAAACUCAAACAAGGCAUUAGCUUUUUUCAAAACUCUAUGGCCAUAACUGAAUCGUCAGCAGUUACAACUUUGAGUACUUUGCAAAAAGAGUUCGAUACAAAUUUGUCAGACGAUGAAGUUUUGUGUAAACUCAUUCCGAUAAAAAAAAAGAUAUUGUAUGAGAGACUAAACAGCACGAAAAGAAUAGCAGAAGAUGCCAUCAUAGACCAUUUGUUUAGAAUACUUCUUAAUAAAUUAACACAAUAUUUGAUAGAGUAAGUUCAAUUAGAUUCAUUUGUUUUUUUAUGUUUAAAUAAAAAAUGAAGUAUAUUGAUUGUACA